UCCAUCGUGAGGUGGAAUCUGAAGGAAGCUGUAGGCAAAAUCCUGCACCGACGAACAGAAACCGCAUAUAAGGCAUAUUUGGAGCGGACGAGUUUGCUAGCCAAAACGAAGUCCAACACUACCCGAACUCCAUAGUGUAAAUGCGGCGGUGACAUGGGAUGAAGGUUACUGUU
rfam:Sporomusa sphaeroides DSM 2875 SPSPH_contig000001, whole genome shotgun sequence.